rnacentral:tRNA from 1 species
UCCCUGGUGGCUCAGAUGGUAAAGAAUCUGCCUGCAACGCGGGAGACCCAGGUUAGACUCCUGGGUCGGGAA